GAAGUGCGAUAAGCAAUGCGAAUUGCAGAACCGUGAGUCAUCAGAUUUUUGAACGCAACUGGCGCCGGCUGGCUCUCCAGUCGGCAUGCUUGUUUCAGUGUCUUUUCAACUCAUCACCCAAAUCUUAAUGCGAGAGAUACCCUUCUCUUGUUAAGCAUGAAAGCACUCUGCGCUCUGCGAGCGACUUCGACUUGUUCGAGGUCGCACUCAAUGCAGCGGUCACAUUUCUAAUGUGAACUCAUUGGGAGUAGAGGCAGUGCGGCCUUACAGCUGCCAGUGCUUAGACACUCAAACUUUUUUUGUAUCUGAAAUCAAGCAGGAUCACCCGCUGAACUUAA
rnacentral:misc_RNA from 1 species